rnacentral:rRNA from 1 species
GACGAACGCUGGCGGCGCGCUUAACACAUGCCAGUCGAACGGAAAGGCCUGCUUUCCCUUGUGGAUUGCGGGUACUCGAGUGGCGAACGGGUGAGUAACACGUGAGUGAUCUGCCCCCAACUUGGGUAUAAGCCUGGGAAACUGGGUCUAAUUCCCGAUAGGACUGCAGGGUGGUGCCUGUUGUGGAAAACGAUUUUCUAGUGGUUGGGGAUGAGCUCGCGGCCUAUCAGCUUGUUGGUGGGGUAAUGGCCUACCAAGGCGGCGACGGGUAGCCGGCCUGAGAGGGUGGACGGCCACAUUGGGACUGAGAUACGGCCCAGACUCCGACGGGAGGCAGCAGUGGGGAAUAUUGCACAAUGGGCGGAAGCCUGAUGCAGCGACGCCGCGUGGGGGAUGACGGCCUUCGGGUUGUAAACUCCUUUCGACCGCGAGGAAGCCACCUGGUUGGAAGGGUGGUGACGGUAGUGGUAGAAGAAGCACCGGCUAACUACGUG